GCGGAUAUGGCGGAACUGGCAGACGCGCUAGAUUUAGGAUCUAGUGGUAAUCCCGUGCAGGUUCGAUUCCUGUUAUCCGCA
rnacentral:tRNA from 1 species